GACGUAGGGCGCGAGCGUUGUCCGGAUUUAUUGGGCGUAAAGAGCUCGUAGGCGGCUUGUCGCGUCGUCCGUGAAAACCUGGGGCUCAACUCCAGGCUUGCGGUCGAUACGGGCAGGCUCGAGUUCGGUAGGGGAGACUGGAAUUCCUGGUGUAGCGGUGAAAUGCGCAGAUAUCAGGAGGAACACCGGUGGCGAAGGCGGGUCUCUGGGCCGAAAUUGACGCUGAGGAGCGA
rnacentral:rRNA from 1 species